GGAGCAACCUUGUCUUGAAAGUUCACCAAGUCGAGAUGUGCUCUGCACGGUCUACUGUCAAAUCCCAUAUAUAGUCUCAUAGCUCAGCUGGUUAGAGCGCUACACUGAUAAUGUAGAGGUCGGCAGUUCGAGUCUGCCUGAGACUACUGAGAUACUAAUUAAAUUAAUUAGUAUGAAGUUCAUAUAAAAUUAUUGAAGGAAAUUCUAGGAGCAGAGAAUUCUACUCAUUUAUAAUUCUGAAUUCUACAAUUCUGGAUUUCAAAAAAUGGGGGAUUAGCUCAGCUGGCUAGAGCGCCUGCCUUGCACGCAGGAGGUCAUCGGUUCGACUCCGAUAUUCUCCACAAUUACGUUUUUAGCGUAAAAAAGUUCAUUGACAUAUUGGGAAACACGAAAUAUUGACGAAGGAUAGUUUAUCUAUCCUGAGUAGAAAAGACAAAAGAGCAUAACGCGAGGC
rnacentral:tRNA from 1 species